rnacentral:lncRNA from 1 species
GAAGGUUCGAGAAGCUUGGAGAUAUAAAUUGGCGAAGGGGAUUUUUCCGUUUUUAGAAAUUAGAAAGAAAAUUAAAAAAAAAAUUGAAAAGCUUGGGUUCGAAAAGGUGUUCUGUUUUUCGCAUUUUCCUCCUUAUCCUUUAGUUUGAAAUUCAUAGAUAUAUAUAAGAAAGGAUGUUGAGUGUGCUAGUCUUCUUUUUGAUUUGGUAUUGAUAUCCAUUUAAAGAGUGAUAGUAUAUAGAUGUUCAGAUCUUCUCUUCGUCUGAGUUUUUUUCUGGAAAAUGGAACUUGUUUGAAAGGCUGUUGAGUUCACUGCUGUUAGCGGGCUCGAGCUUGAUUCGGUGCUGCCCUCUUGUUCAGAUUUUAGACUUGAGUCUCGCUCAAUUAAGUUGUUGUAUUUUCUGAGAUUCUAUAAUUGGAAACAUUCAUUGAGGUCCGUUUCUGACUCCCUCUUAUUCUUUUGGUGUGAUUUUAGUAUAAUAGAAGUUUGGGAUAAUCGAUUAGUAUCGAUUUAAAUGUGGUUUGCCUAGUACUGAUUUGAUUUUGUCUUCCUCGAAUUCUUGAGAUGCUCAGUUCUUUCCGUUGUGCUGGAAUAUGGUUUUAAUUCCGAAUCUUAUCGUUUGUUGAUGAUGUUUGAUCAAAUCAGAUUUGAGUUUUGGUGGUUUGAGUUAGUGAAACAUGUAAUAUUGUUGUUGGAAUCAGUUUUGAUUAACUCUUUGAUGUAGAAAAGUUACCGCUGUUUAAAUGAAUCACAUAAUGGUUAAUUGAAAACCUGAACAGUGAUGUAUUUAAACCAAAUGGUUAGUUUUGUCGUUCUUCUUUUUUCACUUUCAUUCUGUUUUGCUGCUGGUAUAUGUGUAGAUUUGUGCUAUUUGCCUUCUAUUGCUGGAAAUCUAUCUUCAUUGUUACAGCUAUAAAAACUUUGUUCUUUCUCAAAAUAGAUCUGCCUUCUUGUUGAAAAUACGUGGCAACUGUUUAUUUUGCAAUGUUGAUUGAUAAGUGCGUACAUUUUAGUUUAUGGGAAGCUUUGGAAUGAUCUUGUGAAGGUUUAUUUCUCACAGUACUUCUUUUGAGUUUAUUUUGAACAUAUGACUGAAAUGAUUCCCGCUAUUACUUGUUAGAUUUGGUUAAGAUUGUUAAUGUCCUGUUUGCUUGAUCUGAGAAGUUGUCAUGAAGCCUUGAAACGGUAUGGAUAUACCAAAGUGUAUAGAUCAUAGAUGUGUGAAUGCAUGCAAUUUGUUUGUAAAUGUUUUUUUUUUAAAAUUUAUGUUGGCCUCUUUAGAGCUCUAUGUUGACUUUUGUCUACCUAUUCAACGGUUUGAAAUGGUUAUUAGUGGGGAAGGUUUAUGAAUCUGGGAAUUGAAGUGAAAUUGACAUGGGUUCUAUUCUUCGUUUUUCUCUUAGAUAUAUACUGUACAUACGUUUGUCCAAAAAAUAGAGGCACAAAAAACACGAAAUGGCCUAUUACCAACAGUAAUAUUGUUAAAAGCACAAUAAUACUCUGGCAUUUGUUAUCCGCUUCAGGGACCUCUAAUAUACUAUUGUGGUCGUGGACAGGUUCGAUUGACAUGACUACAAUUCCUAGAAAAGAAAAUCGGAGUAUGCGUUCGCUAACUUUGGCCAAUUUUUUCUUAAUAAUAAUAAAGCAUUAUGAAUUGUGGACAAGUUCGUGUGACAUGAUUUUGACACGCCAAAUAAAUGGGUACAUGUACGCAUGGCCCGUUUCAAGAUAAUUUCCUUAAUUAAAAGCGGUAAAAGGUAAAUGCACAUAGGUUCUAAAAUCAGUAAUUAGACAAUUUGUUUAAGCCAAGUAUGAUCAAAGAGAGCGUGCUAGAAUUGUAACGAGGACGAAUGUAUCUUUAAGUAGGAGAGAAUGUAACGAUCCGACCGGUCAUUUUGAGACCUAGCAUAUCGUUCAGUAGUUUGAGGCUAUAAGUAGCUUCAUUUUAGGUGUUAUGACUUGUACGUGUGGUCGGAAUAGAACUUCGAAAAGUUCGGAGUCGAUUUGGGAAGAGAAUUCUCAUUCAGAAGCUUAAAGUUGAAGGAAUUAACUAGGAUUGAAUUUUUGAGUAAAGGACUUCAGAAUCGGGACCUGAAGGUUCUAGCAAGUUCGUACGAUUUCGGACUUGGGCGUAUAACCGGAUAGUGUUUUGGAUGACCCGGGAGCAUUUUGGCGCCUAUUGUGGAAGUUGGCAUUUUGAAAGGAAUUUUAUAAGCUUGGUUUGAAGUGUAUUUCAAUGUUAUCGAUGUCCGUUUGGGAUUCCGAGACUGGGAGUAGCUCCAUAUGGUGAUUCUAGAGUUGGGAGCCAGUCGAAGUGAAUACGAGGUUCGUAGGUCAUUUUGAAGCCAUUUAGCUAAAGAUAAAAAUUUGAAUUUUGAGAAGUUUGACCAGAAGCGGACUUUUUGAUAUCGGGGUCGGAAUUCGAUUCCAGAAUUUGGAGUAGGUCCGCAAUGUCAAAUAUGACGAGUGUGCAAAAUUCGAGAUCAAUCAGACGUGAUUUAAUAGGUUUAAACAUCGGAAGUAGAAGUUUGAAAGUUCAAAGUUUAUAAAGCUUGAAUCGGGGUGUAAUUCAUGAUUUUAGCGUAGUUUGAUAUGAUUUGAGGCAUCGAGCAAAUCCGUAACAUAUUUUGGGAUUUGUUGGUAGGUUUGGUUGAGGUCACGGGGGCCUCGGGUGGAUUCCGGGUGGUUAACAGAUCGAAUUUGGAGUUGAAGAAAAGAUGAAGCAGCUGAUAUUUGGUAUUUCCGCACCAGCGAAGAUUUGGACGCAGGUGCAGAGCCACAGAAGCGGCCAGGAAGAUCACAAAUGCUGAUUUGGGUGAAGAGAGUUGGGACCGCAAAUGCGGUCAGGGAGCCGCAGAAGCAGGAUUGCACCUGCGAAAAAGGGAGCGCAGAAGCGGAAGCUGGGCGGCUUGGGAAGGAGCCGCAGAAGCGGAAUUUGGACGGCACCUGCGGAACUGCAGAAGCAGUCAAGUGGCCGCAAAUGCGGAAAAAGCUGAGGAAGUGAGUCUUUUAAAAACUCGGGAGAUGGUGAUUUUUCUUCCAAUUCAUUUGGUAUGGGCGAUUUUUGAGAGCUUCAAGAGGGGAUUUUCGUGAUCAAUGUUAAGGUAAGUUAUCCCCACCUAUUUUGAGUUAAAUACAUCAAUUAUGUAUGUAUUUGAGCAUGAAAAUUAUAGAAAACUUGGGGUUUGAGGAAAGACCUAGAAAAUUAUUGUUAUUAGAAUUUAACCACGAUUUCGGGGAUGGAAUUUAGUGAAAAUUAUAUAUUUUAGUUCCUAAGGUCAUGGGUAAAGUUUAUCUUCGAGGAAUUUUGGAUUCCGGGCACGUGGACCCGAGUGCAUUUUUGUCAACUUUCGGAUCGGAGUUAGGAAUUGUUAUAAAUUGGAUUAUAAUGAGUACAUUAGAAUAUAUUAAUGCUUUUGUAUAAACAUUGGCUAGUUUUAGAGAAUUGUGCGUGGGUUCAAGUCUUUGGAAGAAUGUAGAAUGCCGGUUAUGGGUCUUCGGAGCAAGGUGAGUCUCCUUUCUAACUUUGUAAGAGGGAGUUGUCCCCAUAGGUGAGUUAAUUGGUUAUGUGUUCCUAUUUGUAGGGGCUACGUAUGCACGAGGUGACGAGAGUCCGUGCGUAGCUACUAUUAUGAUGUUGUCCAGAUAGUUUAGGACCCAAAAGCAUGUUAUACUUGGAAUAAUUAAAAUCUUAUUGUCACCUUGUACUGCUUAGAUCACAUUGAAUUAGUAAAUAAAUUUCUAAAAAGAUUAAACUCCAUUUUUAUUAAAUUGUUAAAGCGGAAUUGGUUUUUAAUUGAGAUAAGUGUUCCCGGAAAAAUUCCUAAGUGGUUAUUUGCGCAUGAGUUUUGAUGUGUAGCUGUGUGGCAUGUAUGAUUCGCGAGCAGGGUAUGUGUUUAAAUUUUGGAAUGGGCCGAACUCCUCGACAUAUUAAAUAGAUGAAUCUAUGGUUCGGGCCGUUCGACCCUCGGCAGUGCAUAGUUUACAUUUCUGUCAGAGCGGACCGUCGACCUCGGCAUGAUAUGUGCAUGUUCAUACUACAUACCUGAAAGACUUGAUGUUGAUAUUGCCUUUUUGGCUUGACAUAAACUGCUAAAGAUAAAUGAAAAGAAAUAUUUGUUAAUUGUUAAAGGUGUUUACCAAUUUAUAUAAAUCCAUGAUUUUCUCACGAUUUAGUAUAUUAUUAUUUGACCACUAGCAAAUGUUAAAGUCGACCUCUCUUCUCUACUUCUUCGAGAUUAGACGGGAUACUUUCUUAGUACACGUUGUUUUUAUACUCAUACUAUAUUUGUUGUGCAUUUUUGUUGCGCAGGUUUAUUGUGUUGCUAGUGGCUUAGUAGCAUAGCAACAUGGUUGACGUAGAGACUAGGUGAGCUGUAUUUUCUCGAGGCGAUUCCGCAGCUAGUAUAGUCUCCUUCAGGAUUCGAUUUACUUCUUUCCAAUUGUAUUCCAGACAGUUAUUGUACUUAUUUGUUAUUUCUUAGAAAAUAACUCGCAUACUCGUGACACCAGGUUGUGGGGAUGUAUUUAUGUUUUUAUUCUAAAAUUUCACAUGUUGUUAAAUAUUCCAUUAUUUGUUUUGAAGAGUAUAUUGGGGUAUUGUUUUAAUUGUAUAACAGAAGUAUUUUCGAAAUUAUUAAGACAAGAAU